rnacentral:rRNA from 1 species
UACAGAGGGGGCAAGCGUUGUUCGGAAUUACUGGGCGUAAAGGGCGCGUAGGCGGCCCGCUAAGUCGAACGUGAAAUCCCCGGGCUUAACCCGGGAACUGCGUCCGAUACUGGCAGGCUUGAAUCCGGGAGAGGGAUGUGGAAUUCCAGGUGUAGCGGUGGAAUGCGUAGAGAUCCGGAAGAACACCGGUGGCGAAGGCGGCCUGCUGGGCAGUGGCUGACACUGAGGCGCGACAGCGUGGGGAGCAAACAGG